CCGGGCAGUGCCGGGCGGCGGCGGCCACGGGGCGGCGGUGUUGGGCAGCGCUCCCGCGGGCCCGGGCCUGGGGCCGGCCAGGGUAGGGGCAAGGCCCUGCGCGGGGCCGCGACGCCAUUUGGUGACUGAAGGCUGAGCUCGGGACCCGGGGUGGAACCGGGCACGUCCCGGGCGGGCGGCUUUCGGGCAGGUCGCGGCGGGCUCCCAGAGCAGUGGCGGGGAGAUGAGGCACGGAGCAGCGGGACGGAGGGCUGAGGCAGCUCGGCGAGGCCGCGGUGCAGCACCGAGCUGUGGGAAGUCGAAGCAUCUCUGAGCAGCAGCAGCAGCAGCAGCAGCUGAGUGUCUCUGAGAGAGUGUCAGAGUGUCUUGGCAACAGUGGGAGAUGUCUGCAACUUUCCUUGACUCCUGCGGAAAGCACGUCAUGUAGGCAGGGCGGCGUUUAAACCCAUUACCCCUUGUCCUGACAGGACAACAUGUGACAGGACAACAUUCUACCUACAUGUGAAAAG
rnacentral:lncRNA from 1 species